CAAUUAAAUAAUUAUGUGAAUUUGGUAAUUGAAAUAUGAGUUGGUAGUUAUUUAUAGUAAAUUUAAAUGAAAUGAAUCAAUAAAUUAUAGUUUAUUAGUACAGUGUUGGUAUUUUGAAAUAUUUUGAAAAUGGAAUUUUUGUGAAGGAAAGUUUUUGUACCUUUUGUAUCAGGGUUUAUUAAUAUUAUUUGGUGUAUAUUAUUUUCUCGAAGAUAAAAGAGUUAAUUCACAUUAGUAGUUAUUAUAGUAUAAAUAUUACAGAAUGUGAAUUAGUUAAUGAGAUGUUAGUCGUUUUUAUUGAUAUCUAGUUUCUUAAUAAAUAAAUUUAAUUUAGCUAUUUAAGAUUAAAUUAAUAAAUUGUUAUUAAUUAAUAAUUUAAAUUAAAUAGAAAUAAUUUUGGGGAUAAGCUUGAAAUUGUAAUUAGAAGGUAGUUGUUGAUAUAGUUAUGGGCUUUAAGAUAGCUAGUAUAAUUAGAAUGUUACAAUUGUAGUGUAUUAGUGAUUUAAUUUACUUUAAAUUUAUAUUGAGAAGUAAUAAUUAACUGUUAAUUAUUAUUUAUAAUGGUAGAAUUAGUAGAUGUAUUUGUAUAGAUAAUAUAUUAGAGGAAUUAUAAUAAAGGAAUUAGGCAAAAUUUUAUCCGCCUGUUUAUCAAAAACAUGUCUUUUGGAAUUUAUAUGAAGUCGUACCUGCUCAAUGAUAUAUUAAAUAGCCGCGGUAUUUUGACCGUGCAAAGGUAGCAUAAUCAUUAGUUUUUUAAUUGGAAACUGGAAUGAAUGGUUUGACGAGAUAAAAUCUGUCUCUAUUAUAAGGGUUGAAUUUUACUUUUGAGUUAAAAGGCUUAAAUGUUGAAUAGGGACGAGAAGACCCUAUAGAUCUUUAUUACAUAAAAAUUAAUUUAGAUAUUAGGAAAUGAUUAUUUAUUAAUUUAAAUGUAAUUUUGUUGGGGUGAUGGGAGAAUAAAUUUAACUUCUUUUUUUUGGUACUUAGAUAAUAGGAAUUAUGAUCCUUUAUUAUGGAUAUAAGAUUAAGAUACCUUAGGGAUAACAGCGUUAUUUUAUUUGAGAGUUCUUAUCGACAAUAAAGAUUGCGACCUCGAUGUUGGAUUAAGAUUAUCAUUUGGUGUAGUAGUUAAAUUGAUUGGUCUGUUCGACCAUUAAAAUCUUACAUGAUCUGAGUUCAAACCGGUGUGAGCCAGGUUGGUUUCUAUCUUGUUUUAAUAUUAGAUUUUAGUACGAGAGGAUCAAAUUUAAGGAAUAAUUUCUAAUAUGGAGUAAUAUU
rnacentral:rRNA from 1 species